rnacentral:rRNA from 1 species
CCUACGGGUGGCAGCAGUGGGGAAUAUUGCACAAUGGGGGAAACCCUGAUGCAGCGACGCCGCGUGAGCGAAGAAGUAUUUCGGUAUGUAAAGCUCUAUCAGCAGGGAAGAAAAUGACGGUACCUGAGUAAGAAGCCCCGGCUAACUACGUGCCAGCAGCCGCGGUAAUACGUAGGGGGCAAGCGUUAUCCGGAUUUACUGGGUGUAAAGGGAGCGCAGACGGCUGUGCAAGUCUGGAGUGAAAGGCGGGGGCCCAACCCCCGGACUGCGCGGGAAACUGUAAAGCUGGAGUGCAGGAGAGGUGAGCGGAAUUCCGAGUGUAGCGGUGAAAUGCGUAGAUAUUAGGAGGAACACCAGUGGCGAAGGCGGCUUACUGGACUGCAACUGACGUUGAGGCUCGAAAGCGUGGGGAGCAAACAGGAUUAGAUACCCGUGUAGUC